rnacentral:rRNA from 1 species
GAUGAACGCUGGCGGCGUGCCUAAUACAUGCAAGUCGAGCGAACGGACGAGAAGCUUGCUUCUCUGAUGUUAGCGGCGGACGGGUGAGUAACGCGUGGAUAACCUACCUAUAAGACUGGGAUAACUUCGGGAAACCGGAGCUAAUACCGGAUAAUAUUUUGAACCGCAUGGUUCAAAAGUGAAAGACGGUCUUGCUGUCACUUAUAGAUGGAUCCGCGCUGCAUUAGCUAGUUGGUAAGGUAACGGCUUACCAAGGCAACGAUGCAUAGUCGACCUAAGAGGGUGAUCGGCCACACUGGAACUGAGACACGGUCCAGACUCCUACGGGAGGCAGCAGUAGGGAAUCUUCCGCAAUGGGCGAAAGCCUGACGGAGCAACGCCGCGUGAGUGAUGAAGGUCUUCGGAUCGUAAAACUCUGUUAUUAGGGAAGAACAUAUGUGUAAGUAACUGUGCACAUCUUGACGGUACCUAAUCAGAAAGCCACGGCUAACUACGUGCCAGCAGCCGCGGUAAUACGUAAGUGGCAAGCGUUAUCCGGAAAUAUUGGGCGUAAAGCGCGCGUAGGCGGUUUUUUAAGUCUGAUGUGAAAGCCCACGGCUCAACCGUGGAGGGUCAUUGGAAACUGGAAAACUUGAGUGCAGAAGAGGAAAGUGGAAUUCCAUGUGUAGCGGUGAAAUGCGCAGAGAUAUGGAGGAACACCAGUGGCGAAGGCGACUUUCUGGUCUGUAACUGACGCUGAUGUGCGAAAGCGUGGGGAUCAAACAGGAUUAGAUACCCUGGUAGUCCACGCCGUAAACGAUGAGUGCUAAGUGUUAGGGGGUUUCCGCCCCUUAGUGCUGCAGCUAACGCAUUAAGCACUCCGCCUGGGGAGUACGACCGCAAGGUUGAAACUCAAAGGAAUUGACGGGGACCCGCACAAGCGGUGGAGCAUGUGGUUUAAUUCGAAGCAACGCGAAGAACCUUACCAAAUCUUGACAUCCUUUGACAACUCUAGAGAUAGAGCCUUCCCCUUCGGGGUACAAAGUGACAGGUGGUGCAUGGUUGUCGUCAGCUCGUGUCGUGAGAUGUUGGGUUAAGUCCCGCAACGAGCGCAACCCUUAAGCUUAGUUGCCAUCAUUAAGUUGGGCACUCUAAGUUGACUGCCGGUGACAAACCGGAGGAAGGUGGGGAUGACGUCAAAUCAUCAUGCCCCUUAUGAUUUGGGCUACACACGUGCUACAAUGGACAAUACAAAGGGCAGCGAAACCGCGAGGUCAAGCAAAUCCCAUAAAGUUGUUCUCAGUUCGGAUUGUAGUCUGCAACUCGACUACAUGAAGCUGGAAUCGCUAGUAAUCGUAGAUCAGCAUGCUACGGUGAAUACGUUCCCGGGUCU